rnacentral:rRNA from 1 species
UACGAAGGGGGCUAGCGUUGUUCGGAAUUACUGGGCGUAAAGGGCGCGUAGGCGGUGUGUCCAGUCAGGCGUGAAAGCCCCGGGCUCAACCUGGGAACCGCGCUUGAGACUGGCACGCUCGAGUUCGGGAGAGGAUGGUGGAAUUCCCAGUGUAGAGGUGAAAUUCGUAGAUAUUGGGAAGAACACCGAUGGCGAAGGCAGCCAUCUGGACCGACACUGACGCUGAGGCGCGAAAGCGUGGGGAGCAAACAGG